rnacentral:rRNA from 1 species
GGAUGCGAUCAUACCAGCACUAAAGCACCGGAUCCCAUCAGAACUCCGAAGUUAAGCGUGCUUGGGAGAGAGUAGUACUAGGAUGGGUGACCUCCUAGGAAGUCCUCGUGUUGCAUUCC